CUAAUCAAACCGGGAGAUAGCUGGUUCUCCCCGAAAUCUAUUUAGGUAGAGCCUCGGACGAAUACUUACGGGGGUAGAGCACUGUUAAGGCUAGGGGGUCAUCCCGACUUACCAACCCUUUGCAAACUCCGAAUACCUGUGAGUACUAUCCGGGAGACACACGGCGGGUGCUAACGUCCGUCGUGAAGAGGGAAACAACCCAGACCGCCAGCUAAGGUCCCUAAAUAUUACUAAGUGGGAAACGAAGUGGGAAGGCUAAGACAGCUAGGAGGUUGGCUUAGAAGCAGCCAUCCUUUAAAGAAAGCGUAAUAGCUCACUGGUCGAGUCGGUCUGCGCGGAAGAUGUAACGGGGCUAAACUAUGCACCGAAGCUGCGGAUUCAGAAUUUAUUCUGAGUGGUAGGGGAGCGUUCUGUAAGCCGUUGAAGGUGUACCGGGAGGUAUGCUGGAGGUAUCAGAAGUGCGAAUGCUGACAUGAGUAACGAUAAGGGGAGUGAAAAACUCCCCCGCCGGAAGACCAAGGUUUCCUGUCCCAUGCUAAUCAGGGCAGGGUAAGUCGGCCCCUAAGGCGAGGCAGAAAUGCGUAGUCGAUGGGAAACGGAUUAAUAUUUCCGUACUUGGUAUAUCAGUGAAGGGGGGACGGAGAAGGUUAUGCAAGCCUGGCGUUGGUUGUCCAGGUGAAAGUGCGUAGAGUUGUUUCUUAGGCAAAUCCGGGAAACUACAUGCUCGAGACACGAGACGAGACUCUAAGGAGUUGAAGUUGCAAAUACCAUGCUUCCAGGAAAAGCCUCUAAACUUAUGAUAUAUCGAACCGUACCCCAAACCGACACAGGUGGUCAGGUAGAGAAUACUAAGGCGCUUGAGAGAACUUGGGUGAAGGAACUCGGCAAAAUCGUACCGUAACUUCGGGAGAAGGUACGCCUCUGUUUGUGAUUGAACUUGCUUCAUGAGCGAAUGGGGGCCGCAGUGAAAAGGUGGCUGGAACUGUUUAUUAAAAACACAGCACUGUGCUAAAUCGAAAGAUGACGUAUACGGUGUGACGCCUGCCCGGUGCCGGAAGGUUAAUUGAUGGGGUUAUCUUCGGAGAAGCUCUUGAUCGAAGCCCCGGUAAACGGCGGCCGUAACAAUAACGGUCCUAAGGUAG
rnacentral:rRNA from 1 species